rnacentral:rRNA from 1 species
CGUGUAGGCGGGAAAGAAAGUCAGAAGUGAAAUCCCAUGGCUUAACUGUGGAGCUGCUUCUGAAACUUCUUUUCUUUGAGUGCUGGAGAGGAAAGUGGAAUUCCAAGUGUAGCGGUGAAAUGCGUAGAGAUUUGGAGGAACACCAGUGGCGAAGGCGGCUUUCUGGACAGUAACUGACGCUGAGGCGCGAAAGCGUGGGGAGCAAACAGGAUUAGAUACCCUGGUAGUCCACGCUGUAAACGAUGGAUACUAGGUGUAGGAGGUAUCCGACCCCUUCUGUGCCGGAGUUAACACAAUAAGUAUCCCACCUGGGGAGUACGGCCGCAAGGUUGAA